rnacentral:rRNA from 1 species
UACGAAGGGAGCUAGCGUUGUUCGGAAUUACUGGGCGUAAAGCGCACGUAGGCGGCGAUUCAAGUCAGAGGUGAAAGCCCGGGGCUCAACCCCGGAACUGCCUUUGAAACUAGAUUGCUAGAAUCCUGGAGAGGUGAGUGGAAUUCCGAGUGUAGAGGUGAAAUUCGUAGAUAUUCGGAAGAACACCAGUGGCGAAGGCGACUCACUGGACAGGUAUUGACGCUGAGGUGCGAAAGCGUGGGGAGCAAACAGG